rnacentral:rRNA from 1 species
UACGAAGGGGGCUAGCGUUGUUCGGAAUUACUGGGCGUAAAGCGCACGUAGGCGGAUCUGUAAGUAGGGGGUGAAAUCCCCGGGCUCAACCCGGGAACUGCCUUCUAGACUGCAGACCUUGAGAUCAGGAGAGGCGAGCGGAAUUCCGAGUGUAGAGGUGAAAUGCUUAGAUAUCGUCAAGAACACCGAUAGCGAAGGCAGCUUACUAGACUGUAACUGACGCUGAUGCACGAAAGUGUGGGGAUCAAACAGG